UACAGAGGUCUCAAGCGUUGUUCGGAUUCAUUGGGCGUAAAGGGUGCGUAGGCGGCGCGGUAAGUCGGGUGUGAAAUCUUGGAGCUUAACUCCGAAACUGCAUUCGAUACUGCCGUGCUUGAGGACUGGAGAGGAGACUGGAAUUUACGGUGUAGCGGUGAAAUGCGUAGAUAUCGUAAGGAAGACCAGGGGCGAAGGCGGGGCUCUGGACAGUGCCUGACGCUGAGGCACGAAGGCCAGGGGAGCAAACGGG
rnacentral:rRNA from 1 species